AACGAACGCUGGCGGCGUGGAUUAGGCAUGCAAGUCGAACGAAUUUGGAUUUAUUCAGAUUAGUGGCAAAAGGAUGAGUAACACGUAGAUAACCUACCCUAAACUUGGGGAUAACAUUGCGAAAGCGAUGCUAAUACCGAAUGUGAUCAUAGUUAAUUCUAUGAGGAAAGAUGGCCUCUAUUUAUAAGCUGUCGGUUUUUGAUGGGUCUGCGUCCUAUUAGCUUGUUGGUGUGGUAAUGGCACACCAAGGCUACGAUGGGUACCCGGGCUGAGAGGCUGGUCGGGCAUAUUGGGACUGAGACACUGCCCAAACUCCUACGGGAGGCUGCAGUCGAGAAUCUUUCGCAACGGGGGAAACCCUGACGACGCGACGCCGCGUGAGCGAUGAAGGCCUUCGGGUUGUAAAGCUCUGUCACUGUGGAGGAAUGCCUUUUAAUUAAUACUUUUGAGGUUCGACAUUACACAGAAAGGAAGCACCGGCUAACUCCGUGCCAGCAGCCGCGGUAAUACGGAGGGUGCAAGCGUUGUUCGGAUUUACUGGGCGUAAAGGGUGCGUAGGUGGAUUAGUAAGUGAAGUGUGAAAGCCCAAGGCUCAACCAUGGAACUGCACUUCAAACUACUAGUCUUGAGUAUAGAAGAAGUAAGUAGAAUUCUCAGUGUAGCGGUGAAAUGCGUAGAUAUUGAGAAGAAUACCAUAAGUGAAGACGACUUACUAGUCUAAUACUGACACUAAGGCACGAAGGCUAGGGGAGCAAACAGGAUUAGAUACCCUGGUAGUCCUAGCAGUAAACGAUGUCAACUUGGUGUGGGGGAGUUCGACCUUCUCUGUGCCGGAGCUAACGCGUUAAGUUGACCGCCUGGGGAGUACGGCCGCAAGGCUAAAACUCAAAGAAAUUGACGGGGACCCGCACAAGCGGUGGAGCAUGUGGUUUAAUUCGAAGCAACGCGAAGAACCUUACCAGGACUUGACAUCUACUUGAUUGUAUGUGAAAGCAUAUUUCCCUUCGGGGCAGGUAGACAGGUGUUGCAUGGCUGUCGUCAGCUCGUGUCGUGAGAUGUUGGGUUAAGUCCCGCAACGAGCGCAACCCUUGUUUUCAGUUACCAGCGAGUUAUGUCGGGGACUCUGGAAAGACUGCCGGUGAUAAACCGGAGGAAGGUGGGGAUGACGUCAAGUCAUUAUGGCCCUUACGUCCUGGGCUACACACGUGCUACAAUGAUCGGUACAGAAGGAAGCAAUACCGCGAGGUGGAGCAAAUCCUGGAAAACCGGUCCCAGUUCGGAUUGGAGUCUGCAACUCGACUUCAUGAAGGAGGAAUCGCUAGUAAUGGCAGGUCAGCUACACUGCCGUGAAUACGUUCCCGGGUCUUGUACACACCGCCCGUCACAUCACGAAAGUUGAUCUUUCCCGAAGUCGCUGUACCAACCCGUCAAGGGAGGAAAGCGCCGAAGGUGGGAUUGAUAAUUGGGAUGAAGUCGUAACAAGGCA
rnacentral:rRNA from 1 species